rnacentral:rRNA from 1 species
UAUGACCUCGGAUCACGUAGGAA